UUUAUUGGCCUUUCAGCAGUUGCAUAUUGCCAAUCAAUCUAAUUUCUGCACAGAUUAAGUAUUUCCAUAGUGGUGAGGCAUUUCAUAUAGUUGAUCAAAUUUGUAGCUAAUAUUGAUAGAGACUUGUAACCUCUAGCCACAUCUAUCUUUGUGUCAUUAGACCAUUGUUGGAUGAGAAGAAUACCUUGUAUUUUUCUAAAUAUAGACCAAUCUAGUAUGGAAUGGAGCUUAUAAUCAGUUUAUCAUUUCAAUAAUAUUUAAUGGUGGAAUUGAGAACUAGAGACUGGACCCCAAAAGUAGUCAUUUAUGGAUCUAGAUCGCCGAGGUUUCAUGGACUGUACAAAGGCUUUGCCCUAUGCCGUCCAACAUUUCUAUCAGUGACUUGGAUGAAAGCAUAAACAGCACCUAAAACAGAUGAUCCAAAAAAAAUCUCCACACUUUAGAAUGUAGGGCCUAACUUAAUAAGGAAUAUGUAUGAGAACUUGCGUGGGGUACAAAAUAGCAUUUGCCCAAGUACAUGAUUGGAAGAGGUACGGCUAACCACCAAAGCACCGUGAGAAAAAAUAGGCUAGGAGUCUUCAUGACUAGAAAUUCAGUAUGAAUUCAUGUGCCAUGACAAUGAAAAAAACUAAGGCUAUCUCAGGCUGCUUUGAGAGGCAAACUAUCCAGAGCAAGAAAGAGGAUAGCUUAACAGUGCUCCACCCUUGUUAGACCCCAUCUGAUGGUCGUAUUCAGUUCAAGGUGCCACAUUCUUUGUGACUGUCCAGGGGAGGGCACAUGAGAGAGUUGGGGUAUUGCAGACCAGGCUAUAUAAGGAUUGGUUAAAAGUCUAGAUGAGUACUUAAAGGAGACAUUCAAGCCAAGAGUUACCGUGGGAAAGUGUCCUGCUUUACUCCAGUGGACAGAUUUAGGGAAUUUCAGGGACAACUUUAAGCUUGAUAGAAACAUUCUAUAAUAAUGAGAGCUUUUUCAACCUGGAAUAGACUGCCCUAAAAUGUAGCAAGCUGGCAGUUUCUGGAGGUCUUCAAGCAAAAGCCCUCGAUCGUGUUAUAGAGGGGAUACCUCUGAAGGGACAGGUUCAACUCCAAAAUCUCAGAAUUGAAAGACUUUGGAAGUAACAUAGGUCAACCCGUACCCUAAUAACAUCAUAGCCAAGAAAUGGUCACCUUUAAGGACCGGCCAGUUUUUUCAAUAAACCCCUUUAGGCGGUGGCCUUCGGGACCGUCAUUCGCAUGGUUAUACUCUACACUGGCUCACUUGUUGAAUCCUUUUUAUCAGCAUCCCCGGCACCUAGAACGAUAGCACCCAAUACAUUUUUGUUGAUUGCUUGAUCACUUGGGUCCAGAGUGACACUAACAGUAUGAUACUCAAGAUUCAGAAUUAGUCAUGCUUUAGAUGUCCCUGUGCUGAAUUUUUACACACAUGAUCCACUUUCUGACAUCUUGUAAUGCAGGUGUGGCGUGAAAAAAGGGUAAAAAAUUCCUUAUUUCUUCCUUUGAGAAUCAAACGGAUGCCUGAAAUGAUUCCGUAUUUAUGAAUUGUGAUGUCACAGCAUCUCAAGAGUUCGAUAGGAUCGCACCGUCUCCUAGUCCGACCCACCCUUGAAAAAGAACCUUUCCUCAGUGUCUGGGAAGUGGUCGUGCAGCCUUUGCUUGGUAGACCCUCGGUAAUAGGGAAUCCACCACUUCCUGAAGCCACUCGGUGAUGUAUUUCUCAACCUGCCCCGAGCCGUUCCCAUGGGGCAGCUGAGACAACUGUUGAGAAAUCUUUUUUCCUUAUGGGAACCUUAAAGCUGGCUCUGUUAUCUUGUACCCAUCCAUCACUCGUAGGUCUGCCAUUUGAAAAUACCAACGAACUCGCAUUUGGUCAAACAUCCUUAGAACUAUUCUUACAAACACCCAUCAAGCAGCAAAAUCUCUGCCAUUCAGGUCCCAACCCUAAGGCUUCCUCCAGUUUGCACCAUGUACUAGGGAGGACACCUAAAAGUUCUGGAUUCGGCUAUCAUUCAAGGUGGAAGCUAUGUUUUUAAGAUUUACCAUUCUGGACAAAUGGAAAUAUGCCUUGACAGCAAGUGAGGAGAGCCGUCAUUGUCUUAGCCCAGAAGAAAGUCAGGGUUCAUCCAGGCAGAAAUCAUAGCUGACGUUCACUCGCUUCUACAAUUAAAAGGCUAGCUUCUUCCUCCAAA